CCGUCUAUGAAAUAGACGGAUAGCCGUAGAGGUUCGAGUCUCGCGAAGCGAGACAACAUCACCCCGGUGAUGGCCCGUUAGGGCGAGGCCAAAGGCCGAGUUAUCCUGCACGACCCACCA
rnacentral:sRNA from 2 species